GGAAAUGUAGCUCACUGGUAGAGCACUUGCCUACCACGCACAAAGACCUGGGUUCAACUCCCAGCACCA
rnacentral:tRNA from 1 species